GACGAACGCUGGCGGCGUGCUUAACACAUGCAAGUCGAACGGAAAGGCCCUGCUUUUGUGGGGUGCUCGAGUGGCGAACGGGUGAGUAACACGUGAGUAACCUGCCCUUGACUUUGGGAUAACUUCAGGAAACUGGGGCUAAUACCGGAUAGGAGCUCCUGCUGCAUGGUGGGGGUUGGAAAGUUUCGGCGGUUGGGGAUGGACUCGCGGCUUAUCAGCUUGUUGGUGGGGUAGUGGCUUACCAAGGCCUUGACGGGUAGCCGGCCUGAGAGGGUGACCGGCCACAUUGGGACUGAGAUACGGCCAAGACUCCUACGGGAGGCAGCAGUGGGGAAUAUUGCACAAUGGGCGGAAGCCUGAUGCAGCAACGCCGCGUGCGGGAUGACGGCCUUCGGGUUGUAAACCGCUUUCGCCUGUGACGAAGCGUGAGUGACGGUAAUGGGUAAAGAAGCACCGGCUAACUACGUG
rnacentral:rRNA from 1 species